rnacentral:misc_RNA from 1 species
GAUGAAGAACGCAGCGAAAUGCGAUAAGUAGUGUGAAUUGCAGAAUUCAGUGAAUCAUCGAAUCUUUGAACGCACAUUGCGCCCUUUGGUAUUCCUUAGGGCAUGCCUGUUCGAGCGUCAUUUCAACCCUCGACCUCCCCUUGGGGAGGUCGGCGUUGGGGACCGGCAGCACACCGCCGGCCCUGAAAUGGAGUGGCGGCCCGUCCGCGGCGACCUCUGCGCAGUAAUACAGCUCGCACCGGGACCCCGACGCGGCCACGCCGUAAAACACCCAACUUCUGAACGUUGACCUCGAAUCAGGUAGGACUACCCGCUGAACUUAAGCAUAUCAAUAAGCGGAGGA